AUUUCUUCCAGGUUCAUCAAUAACAUCCUCCAGUUUCUUCCAUGCUGUCUCAAAUGAAAGAAUUAUCUUCUCACAAAAUGGUGAAGAGCAGAUUCUUUGUUCCCUCACUGAGUUGUGAGACUACCUUUGUUUCUAAAUCCACUGGCAAUCUCACAUAGCGUCCAGAGAGCACCUUAUGACAACGGGAUGUUAAAGGAGAUGAAACAACUGGAUUUUCUGAGCUUCUGCUUCCUGACCUGCUUGAGUUCCAGUCCUGACUUCCUCUG